rnacentral:lncRNA from 1 species
ACGAAAAGAAAGAGGUCACGAACUCGUGUUGGAUCCAGGAAGUAGCAAAACACCCGAAAUGUGCGUAAAAUCAUCUUUCUUCAAUUGGUGACCUGCUUUGUGUUCCCGAAUGCAUCGCAGUAGAUCCGACCAGGGUUUCGUUGUUUUUCCGUGCACCUUGCGUGAGAUCCUGCACCAUGACCACCGUGCUAAUAUUAUAUUAAGUGUGGCCAAUCGCUCAGGAUUCGACCAUAUUCACACUUGUGUAAUUCAGUCUGAUCAGUGCUCAGGAUGACAGUGAUGAUACCCAGUCUUUGCUGUGUGCUCAAGUUUUCAUAUAUUUGUAGUUCGUGAUAUCCUUCCGACGUUCAAAUUCACCUCAAUUUCUGAAGUGCGCUUUGGCUUUUUUCAUCACAUCAAGAUGGUUGAUAUAGACGUAAUAACCACAAUAAUAGUGGGGUUUGUGAAGGUUGCGUGCACAUUACUCAGCAUGGUCGGCAAGCAACACCUGUGCCCUGAAUAUAUUGGCACUCGCGCAGACACAAAAUCAGCAGCCUCGUCGUUACAUCCAACGCACAUGCGGUGGAACUCCUCUAAACCGUUCUUCGAGUCCAAGUUCAACGAGUUCCCCUCGUUCCAGUUCAACUUCUCCAAGUUCCGCUUCAACUUCUCCGAGCCGGACUUCUCGCUCGAAUCGAUCGACUUCGAUUCCUUCUUCAACUGCGACAAGAGCGACGAAGGGAGCGGUGACAGCGCCGAGGGUGGUGAAGUCGAGGAGUUUGCCAAGGUGCAGCAAGCCAGGCUCGUCACCGCCGGACGUCUCUCCGACGCCAUCGACGGAGCCAAGCUCCGAAAAGUCCUCGAGAAAGCUGCACAGCUCCUCGACAACCCCAUCAAAUGGAAGAGAAACCCUUCUCCAUCGAUUACGAGAUCCCCGAAAGAUUCAAGUCUCGAGGAGUGAUAAAUGAUUUAUCCUUGGAAAAUUUUUCGAAGUACAAAGUCAACGCUGUUGAGGUGGAUGACACAGAUUUAAGCGUGAAGCUGAGUCUAGAUUCACUCAAAAUGGACGGCAUCUACGACAUGGACUUGGAGAUUUUUGACUCUGACUCCAAACUCACAGGCAAAGGACCCUUCGAUAUUAGGUCAGACAAUGUGGACGUCUCAAUGAAGAUGUCUCUGGAAGAAGAUGCUGACAGCUUUGUUUCUCUGAAAGACUUCAAGCUUGAGAUGAAACCAGGAGCACUAAAAGUGAAUAUGACCGGAUUAUCAGGCGACGGAAAAUCGGAGGCGGAAUUGAACGAGCUGAUGAGCGGAAAGAUAUCCGCUCGGCUGGAAAUGCUCCACUCAGACCCUGAAGUCGGAGAAGCCGUCAAAAAGGUGGCGCAAAAAUACUGGGAGCUCUUGUUCGACGGUUCCACCAUCCACCAAAUCAACAGCGUCAUGGACGCCAUCUCCGUAUUUUAACAAGCCAAACGCUCAUCGACAAUUUGUACAAAUUGUAAAUAUAAUAAGGAUUAAGCCCAAUUCACACUGUCAAACUUUUCAUCCAACUCUCGGAUGCAACUUAUCGAAUGGAAAGUUGGAUAGUGUGAUACUGACGAGAGAAAACGACAAUUUGAUGAAAAAUUUGACGGAAACUUGAAUGUGACGUCACAUUCAACUUUUCGUUCUAACUUUCCAUCCAAUUGGCGGAGAGUUGAAUAAAAAGUUGGAACGAAAUCUUCCGACCGAGAUAAGCCGAAGCUGUAUCUUCGCGAAUCGCAGGCUGAUGACGAUAUCACACUGCAAGGGUAAUCGAAUCAAAUUUUUUUGCGUCCAACUUCCCAUCCAACUUUCCGUUCAAUCAUGUGGUAAGUUUGAUAGUGUGAAUUAGGUUUUAGACUCAUGUCUUGUUAUGAUUGUAUUUUAUAUUUCGGCGUGACUGUCGCCUAAUUUUAGUUCAUUGUAGACAAAAGACUUGACCACGAUGGUUUCGCAACCGAACGAGAGGAAAGGAUCUCUGACGGUUGUAGUCGGAUUCUUUGUAUUUUUACUGCAAAAACCACCGAUGACUUGGUGGACUUGGAUUUGAUUAAAAGAGCAUAUUUUUGAUUGAUAAGUCACUGGAAUACUCAAAUGAGUCUCAUUACUAACAAUAAGAUAAGCUAAUUAUAUUAUCCACAUUGGUAGAGUUCUAGGGUAAUAUUCCAAGAUUCAGACCCAGCUGUGAGCAAUUUUGGACUUUGAUUAACGAAACCGAGUUUCUUAAAGAAUUCUCAUAGUUAAGAUUACUUUUUUUGUACUCUCCACUAAGUUUUAGUAACCUUUAUAUCACGCUCUUUGUGUUCUCCAGAAUCUGUUGUCAUUAUUGUAAUUGACGUAAGAAAUAAACGUUUUUACCUCGCUCUACCUAUUUUUUAAGCGUGCCUAUAGGGCUCGCUUUUUGAAAUCACUCGGAUGUACUGUAGUACAGCACACCGAUCGACCAAUGCUUUUCAAGGGGCGUCCGAA